UGUAACUAAGGGCACUAGGAGAGCUUUAGGUUCCGGCCUUCUAUGUUUCUCUCUUUGUCUGGACCACCUCGCUCAAGCAGCCAGUGUUCCUGACCAGUUUAAGGAGCCUGCCAAGAGAUCUAAAGAGCAUCGCUAUUGCCAGUGACACUUCAAGCACCAUUAGAUCUGCUGAAUCUGGCUGAGCACUACCUCUGUUAUGUUCGAGAGUUGAUGGUGGCACCAAUCUCUGCAGUCUCUCCAGGGUCUGCCUGAGCUUCAGAGAGCUGCCUUCCUGAGGUCAGUCCUUUCCCGGGAAGCCUGGAUCUAGUGACUGAGUGAAGCAGAGAUGUAAAGCAUCUCCCUCCUUGCUUCUGUCCAAGGAAUGGGAGGUUCAUCUCUUUAGAUGGAGUCCCAGGAUCAUGGGUCGGUCAUCUGCUAAAAGUCUGGAAUAGCCUACAAAACUGUGGUAGUAGAAUGGACAUAAUAUUAUGUGGCGAAGAAAAAGCGUAUUUUACAUUGAAAAGAUGACAAUUCAAAUCCAGAUUUCAAGUAAGUGGAAACAAGAAUCUCAGACAUACCUGUUCCUGCUUCUGUGGCAUUUAAGGAGAAAGAACCACUCUCCAAUUACAUGUGUUUACGGGGAUGAUGAUUUUCUAGCCACAGUAGCUGCAGCUGAAAGAUGCCUGUGGCUGGGAGAAGGGAGCAAAGAGACCUCCACACCCCUUCCCUACUGCAAGCUUGGAUUCUGACUGUGCAUACCGUGGAGAUGGGAGGAAAGCUCGUUGAAGAAGGUCUGAAUGACAUGAAUACGUGUAUCUUAGAUUAGACUUUUUAAUACCUUAGAAAGUGAGACUAAUUAAUACCCGUAAAUCAUGGAGUAACCUAUGAGAUCUGCCCAAGAUUUUAUCAAGGAAUAGGAAAGAACAAGCCUUCAGAAUGUGUUCCAAGAGAAUAAAUGUGAGAACAAACAAAAUUAUUUUUUGUUCUCAAUCCACUAAGUUCAAUGAAUACAUCAAAUCCACCAACAUAAUUUCUAUCAGUUGCUUCUUUCUUCUAAAACUGCUAAGCCUUUUUUAUGGGUUUGCUUUGAUUUCCCGAAUAAACUUGAAUUAGUUUUGAAAGUGCACUUUUUAAUUCUCCAACCAUGAAGUCUAUCAGAUAAUAGCUAAAAACAAUUAAAAAAUACUUUAAUUUUGUUUACUUGAUAUUAUGUCAAUUAGAAUCUUUAUCAACAGGCCAGUCCUAUUGCACAUGUACACUGUAAUAGUUGGUCUCCUCAGAAUGAUGUGGUGACCUCAAAAGAUCUUUUGUUACUAUUAAAAUGAUGUCAAACUAUAUUCAGAAUUAUUUUAGAAAAAAGACACUAAUGAACUCAUCUACAAAAUCAGAAACAGACUCACAGACAUAGUAAACAAUCUUACAGUUACUGGGGGAGAAGUGGUGAAGGGAUA